rnacentral:rRNA from 1 species
GGAAAGCCCUUCUUGGUACUCGAGCGGCGAACGGAUGAGUAACACGUGACCAACCUGCCCCCUCUUUGGGAUAACCCUCGGAAACGGGGGCUAAUACCGAAUAUUACUUCUGGCCGCAUGGCUGGUGGUGGAUAGUUUUUCGGCUUGGUAUGAUCUCCCGGCCUAUCAUCUUGUUGGUGGGGUGAUGGCCUACCAAGGCGACGACGGGUAGCCGGCCUGAGAGGGCGACCGGCCACACUGGGACUGAGACACGGCCCAGACUCCUACGGGAGGCAGCAGUGGUGAAUAUUGCACAAUGGGCGGAAACCUGAUGCACCGACCCCGCGUGAGGGAUGACGGCCUUCGGGUUGUAAACCUCUUUCAUCAGGGACGAAGCGAGAGUGACGGUACCUGCAGAAGAAGCACCGGCCAACUACCUGCCAGCAGCCCCGGUAAGAUCUAGGGUGCGAGCGUUGUCCGGAUUUAUUGGGCGUAAUUAGCUCGUAUGCGGGUUGUCACGUCGACCGUGAAAACUUGGGGCUCAACCCCAAGCCUGCCGUCGAUACGGGCAGGCUACAGUUCCGUAGGGGAGACUGCAAUUCCUGGUGUAGGGGUGAAGUGCUCACAUGUCAGGAGGAACACCGCUGGCAAAUGCGGAUCUCUGGGCCGAUACUGACGCUGAGGAGCGAAAGCGUGUGGAGCGGACAGGAUUAGAUACCCUGGUAGUCCACGCUGUAAACG